AGGUUGGCUCAGAAGCAGCCAUCCUUUAAAGAGUGCGUAACAGCUCACUAGUCGAAUGACUCUGCGCCGAUAAUUUACCGGGGCUAAGCAUACUACCGAAGCUAUGGAUCCUACGGGAUGGUAGGGGAGCGUUCCAUGAACGGAGAAGUACGACCGGAAGGACGUGUGGAGAUCAUGGAAGAGAGAAUGCCGGUGUGAGUAGCGGAACGUGGGUGAGAAUCCCACGCACCGAAAACCCAAGGAUUCCAGAGGAAGGUUCGUCCGCUCUGGGUAAGUCGGGACCUAAGGCGAGGCCGAAAGGCGUAGUCGAUGGACAACAGGUAGAGAUUCCUGUACUUGUAUAUAUGUGAAGGAAUGACGGAGAGAGAAAGCUGAAGCCAGCGGCUGGAAGAGCUGGUGCAAGCGAGAUAGCGGGAUGGCAGGCAAAUCCGCCAUCCACAACGCGAAGACGUGAUGCGAACGGAAAGCUACGGCGAGUACGGAAGUCAGUGGACGAGCUUCCAAGAAAAGUUUCUAACAUAAGUAUAUGCAACCCGUACCGAAAAUGGACACACAUGGGUGAGGAGAGAAUCCUAAGGUGAGCGAGAGAACUAUAGCUAAGGAACUCUGCAAAAUGACUCCGUAACUUAGGGAGAAGGAGUGCUCAUAGAGAUAUGAGCCGCAGUGAAACGGCCCAAGCGACUGUUUACCAAAAACACAGCUCUCUGCUAAGCCGCAAGGCGAAGUAUAGGGGGUGACGCCUGCCCGGUGCUGGAAGGUUAAGGGGAGGGGUUAACGCAAGUGAAGCCCUGAACUGAAGCCCCAGUAAACGGCGGCCGUAACUAUAACGGUCCUAAGGUAGCGAAAUUCCUUGUCAGGUAAGUUCUGACCCGCACGAAAGGCGUAACGAUUUGGGCGCUGUCUCAGCUGUAGACUCGGUGAAGUCUUAGUACCUGUGAAGAUGCAGGUUACCCGCGACUAGACGGAAAGACCCCAUGGAGCUUCACUGCAGGUUGAUAUUGGGAUUUGAUGCAGCAUGUACAGGAUAGGUAGGAGGCAAUGAGAUGGAUACGCCAGUAUUCAAGGAGCCGCUGUUGGGAUACUACCCCUGUUGUAUUGGAUUUCUAACCGGACGACGUAAGCCGUUGACGGGACAGUGUCAGUCGGGCAGUUUGACUGGGGCGGUCGCCUCCCAAAGAGUAACGGAGGCGCCCAAAGAUACCCUCAGCUUGGAUGGAAACCAAGCGCAGAGUGCAAAGGCAAAAGGGUGUUUGACUGCGAGACCCACAAGUCGAGCAGGGACGAAAGUCGGGCUUAGUGAUCCGGCGGUGCUGAAUGGAAAGGCCGUCGCUCAACGGAUAAAAGCUACCCUGGGGAUAACAGGCUGAUCUCCCCCAAGAGU
rnacentral:rRNA from 1 species